rnacentral:rRNA from 1 species
AUUGAACGCUGGCGGAAUGCUUUACACAUGCAAGUCGAACGGUAGAGGGGGCAACCCCUCGAGAGUGGCGAACGGGUGAGUAAUAUAUCGGAACGUGCCCAGUCGUGGGGGAUAACGUAGCGAAAGUUACGCUAAUACCGCAUACGAUCUACGGAUGAAAGCGGGGGAUCGCAAGACCUCGCGCGAUUGGAGCGGCCGAUAUCAGAUUAGCUAGUUGGUGGGGUAAAGGCCCACCAAGGCGACGAUCUGUAGCUGGUCUGAGAGGACGACCAGCCACACUGGGACUGAGACACGGCCCAGACUCCUACGGGAGGCAGCAGUGGGGAAUUUUGGACAAUGGACGCAAGUCUGAUCCAGCCAUUCCGCGUGCAGGAUGAAGGCCCCUCGGGUUGUAAAGGCUCUUUCGGCCGGGAAGAAAUCGCACAGGCUAAUACUCUGUNUGGAUGACGGUACCGGCAUAAGAAGCACCGGCUAACUACGUGCCAGCAGCCG